rnacentral:rRNA from 1 species
UACGUAGGGUGCAAGCGUUGUCCGGAAUUAUUGGGCGUAAAGAGCUCGUAGGCGGCUUGUUGCGUCGACUGUGAAAACCCGCGGCUUAACUGCGGGCUUGCAGUUGAUACGGGCAGGCUAGAGUUCGGUAGGGGAGACUGGAAUUCCUGGUGUAGCGGUGAAAUGCGCAGAUAUCAGGAGGAACACCGGUGGCGAAGGCGGCUCUCUGGGACGGUACUGACGCUGAGACGCGAAAGCGUGGGGAGCGAACAGG